rnacentral:rRNA from 1 species
UACGUAGGUGGCAAGCGUUAAUCGGAAUUACUGGGCGUAAAGCGUGCGUAGACGGUUAUGUAAGUCAGAUGUGAAAGCCCCGGGCUCAACCUGGGAAUUGCAUUUGAGACUGCAUAGCUAGGGUGCGGAAGAGGGAAGCGGAAUUUCCGGUGUAGCGGUGAAAUGCGUAGAUAUCGGAAGGAACACCAGUGGCGAAAGCGGCUUCCUGGUCCAGCACCGACGUUCAGGCACGAAAGCGUGGGGAGCAAACAGG